UUUUAACAUUAGGCGUUCGUCGUUUUAACAUUAGGCGUUCGUCGUUUUAACCCAGGGCUUUAUUGUUGUUUCUCCUUCUGCCUUAGUUCGUGUUUGUCACAAACUGGGCUGUGCCUCCGUGACUGCAACCACAUUGUCAAGUUCGCGUUUGUGGAGUUCGUGUCUGCGCUUCCAUCGAAGGUACAUGAUUCCUAUUUGUUGUGAGAGUGAAAUGAUGGGUAGCAGCACCAACUGAGGGCUAUCAUUUACUACUGCUAAUUGGC